CUUGGUCUAACUUAUACUGUUUAUUAUAACGCUAUUCGCAGCAAUAUCUUUCUCUGCUCUGAUUGCAACGCUGCCUCGUUCAAAAAUCAUAACACCGCCGCGGCCGCCACGUUUACCAGCCGGAGCCUCAAAUCAUGUCCCUUUGUGCUGAUAAAGAGGACACAGCCUGGUGUGAAACUACAUUUAUUACGGAAGGAUGCCAGCCGGGGUAAGUGAUAUAUAUAAAUAAUUAUAAUGUGGAAAUUCUAAUAAUUUUCACGCUGACAGCUGUUCUGAACUUGCUAACUGCAUGACUCCCCUCCUCCCGCGGCAAGAGGCCGAAUGGCCUACACACGACAGCUCCAGAUUCCUCCCCAUUACCACCUGUCAGCCUCGUCCAUGUAGCUAUCCAGUCUACUCUUAAAACAAGCUAUCGUCCCUGCACUCACUAUGUGAUUGCGGAAUCUAUUCCAUUCCCCCACCACCCUAUUAUUAAACCAAUGCCUGCCCAUUUCCCUCCUAAAUCUAUACUUUUAUAAUUUAAGUCAAUUACUGCAUGUUCUAUCUUGCCAAACAUCUUAUGCAAAAGUUGACCAGCAUCUUCACUCUUUCAUCCCUUACACUGAUAAACUGGAACAGCCUUCCAUUGUCUGCAUUUCCUCCUGCCUAUAAUUUGACCUUCAAGAAGAGUGUAUCAAGACUCUACUUUUGUCUGUUUGGGAGUGGUGAGUAGUGGGGCUUUUUUUUCUAGUACGCUUUGUUGCCCUUGAGCUGUCUCCUUUGUUUAAAGAAAAUAAUAAUUAAAUAAAUGGAAGUUGGCCGCCAAUGCUUCCAACACAUUUUGGUGACAUAUCUACAAGUGGCUGGUGACUGUAAGCAUCUCAGCAACCUGCAUGCAUCUAUGCCAUUCCUAUCAUGGUGCAUGGAGCAAGCUUCACAUAACACUCAGACAGAGACAGUUUAAUUAUGGUUACAUAUCAGACUCAGUUUAUUGCUCAGUCUAUUAGAUGCAGUGCUGUUAAUAUUGUUAGUGGUAGUAUUAGUACAAUUAAUGUAUUUAUUUUAAUUAAUUUAUCUAUUUAUUUAUUAUAUUCUUAGUGUUUGAAAAUUCCAAUACUAGUAUUAAGAUAAACAAAAAUAUCAGAAAUAUAUUUACACUCAUUAAUUAUUAUUGCUUUUCUUAUUAUUACUUCCUUCAAUGUCCUGGCAUUUUGACAUCUAGUGCUUUUCCAUCUAGCAACCAAAAUUGUGGUCUUUCUCAAUGUGUAUGCCCUAAGUCUUCAUUGGUGUAACUAGCUAUAUAACAUAAAAAUCUGCAUCUCUCUCUCUUCUCACCCAGUUGUCCCCGUACAUCCUUUCAGUAUCCAAAGAAUUUCAAUUUACAUCUUGUAAUCACUCAACUAAUGCAGUGCAAUCCUCAUUUCUGUAUUUUACUGUGUGGACAUACUCUUUCCUUCCAUGUUCCACUGUCGUAUGUUAUUCCACAUCUAACACAACCUCAUCCCAACAGACCCGAACACGUCCGAUAUCAUCCAAGAGAAUGUGGCAGCUGAAGGGGGAGAGGCCAAGAAAGAGGCCAAGGGUCAAGACAUUUAGCCACCCCUGAAGUACAUGGCAGCAUUCAACCUUCUUGGUGAGCUGCAGGAAUGUGCUUCCCAUUGCAGUGCACCAGCUCCAUGUACUGAUUUUGGGUGUGAACUUGAUGGGGCUGGAGGAAACUCGACUCGGCCAUCAAGCCCUCCACAAUAUAACAUGAAAAGUGAAAAUUGCUGCACACAACAGUCUGCCAUCUGCACCGGGAGGCAAGGCAGCUCAAAGCCCAGGCUGUUACAACUCCUGGGCAGUUUUUGCCCAGAGCCAGCAAUUUUUUAGAUCCAAUAGGGAUGGAUUUUUUCUGAGGUCAGGUUCAACAUGCUGCAAGAUGCCAAGAUCUAAGCCUAGUAGAAGAUAUGGGUUACAAGAGAGGAGGUUUGCUCUGGCCUUAUACUAUCAAAGUCCAAAUGCUAAUAGAUUUCUGAGCACAGUAUUUCACUUGCCUUCAGUUUCAACACUUCACUCAUGACUCAGGGGUAUUUCAGUACAUGUUGGCUGGAGCAAACAGGCUGACAGCCCUGCAGCAAAGAGCACAGGCUUUGUCAAAAGAAGAUAAACUUUGUGGGAUUUGCCAUUAUUUAGUAUUACUCUUGUUACUCCAAUAAUGUUUUUCCAUAUACUUUGCCAAAUAUUGCAAGUAAUGCACCAUUGUUGGGCUUGCUUGUUAUAAAUCAGAUCUUGUUCAAUUAACAAGCUUUGGGUGUCUGGCACUUUCCAGUUGUAAUGCAAGGAAUCAUUUAUCUUCCCUGCUAGAUAUCACAUGUAAUGCACCAUUGUUGGUUUUGCCUGUUAUAAAUCAGAUCUUGUUCAGUUAACAAGCUUUAAGUGUCUGCCACUUUCCAAUUGUAAUGCAAGGAAUCCCCUGCCAGAUAUCACAUGUAAUGCACCAUUGUUGGUUUUGCCUGUUAUAAAUCAGAUCUUGUUCAGUUAACAAGCUUUAAGUGUCUGCCACUUUCCAAUUGUAAUGCAAGGAAUCCCCUGCCAGAUAUCACAUGUAAUGCACCAUUGUUGGUUUUGCCUUUUAUAAAUCAGAUCUUGUUCAGUUAACAAGCUUUAGGUGUCUGCCACUUUCCAAUUGUAAUGCAAGGAAUCCCCUGCCAGAUAUCGCAUGUAACGCACCAUUGUUGGUUUUGCCUGUUAUAAAUCAGAUCUUGUUCAGCUCACAAGCUUUGAAUAUCUGCCAUUGUUUAUUUCAGGUGUAAUGCUUGGAAACAUUUGUUCUCUUCCCUACCCAACAGUAUGCAAUACUUUAUUGUGGAUUUUGCCUGUUAUGUUUAAUCUUGUUCAGGUAACAAGCUUUUGGUGUCUGCCUCACCUAAUAUGUGCUGCAGUGACACUUGUCUUGGUUUCAUGAUGUGAAAUACAGCAUGUAAUUUCAUCACACUAAGUGUCUAUCAUCACGUGUCUGGCAUCAUUAAUGUGGCUUCCAGGAGUAAUCUUGUUUGUAUUACAGCAUGCAAUUUUUUUUCUGCUUUAUAUGAUAUACAUAAUCACAUAGGUAUGAUUUACAAAAUGUAAUGGCAGUUGAUAUUCUUGACUAAUGCCUCAUAAACCUUGUGAAAAAUAAUGCUUUUUUGAGGGGGGGUGGGCAGAGAGUGCUUUGUUUGGUUGGCCAGUUCAAGGAGUUUCAUAUCAAAUGAUUUUAUUACAUCCAACUUUAAUGUGUGCUAAAAACAUAUAUUUUAUUACAUCCAACUUUAAUGUGUGCUUCCUGCAAUAAAUGCUACAUGUUUACUGAUGUAGCCUAUGAAAUACAUAUCACUCUCUGCCCUGUAAUUUAAUUGGUGUGUCACAUACUGCAGCAUAACUUUCCUGCUAUUUUCUUACACUAUGAGUUGCCUUAUUUUGUCUCACUUGCUUUUAUCAUAUGUGCCUCCGCUGCAUAGUUGUGCCUACUGAGCUUAAUAUCUUCAUGACCCUGACACCAUGGUCAGAGCUUGUGAGAUCAUACCGUGUCCUACAUUCCAUUUUCACCUCCAGGCUUGGCUGUCUCCCAGGACCACCAAGUUAUUGCAUUCCAUUUAAGACAACUCAUGUGUUACCUUCUUAAUGUCCUCCAUCAUGUAUUUCAGCAUGUCUUAUGAUGCUUUGCUCUUAUACUGAUGUGCCUUGCAACAUUUUUAUACAGUUUUCAUUGUAUAUAAUGCACCAUUGUUGUAUUUAAAGCACUGGAUAUGUUUGCUACA